rnacentral:ncRNA from 1 species
UUAUUUCGGACUACACUAAUAGUCUAAGUCCUUUGAUGGACUACGUUAUUUGGGUCAAGACACCUACGGAUACUCCUCUAGUCUACAGCACUGUCGCUGGUCAUUAAACAAUCCUUAGAGUCAUGGGAAUCGUGUGACUAGCUG